GACGAACGCUGGCGGCGUGCUUAACACAUGCAAGUCGAACGGUAAGGCCCUUUCGGGGGUACACGAGUGGCGAACGGGUGAGUAACACGUGGGUGAUCUGCCCUGCACUUUGGGAUAAGCCUGGGAAACUGGGUCUAAUACCGGAUAGGACUACGCGAUGCAUGUCGUGUGGUGGAAAGCUUUUGCGGUGUGGGAUGGGCCCGCGGCCUAUCAGCUUGUUGGUGGGGUGAUGGCCUACCAAGGCGACGACGGGUAGCCGGCCUGAGAGGGUGUCCGGCCACACUGGGACUGAGAUAAGGCCCAGACUCCUACGGGAGGCAGCAGUGGGGAAUAUUGCACAAUGGGCGCAAGCCUGAUGCAGCGACGCCGCGUGGGGGAUGACGGCCUUCGGGUUGUAAACCCCUUUCAGCACAGACGAAGCGUAAGUGACGGUAUGUGCAGAAGAAGCACCGGCCAACUACGUG
rnacentral:rRNA from 1 species